UACAGAGGGUGCAAACGUUGUUCGGAUUUACUGGGCGUAAAGCGCGUGUAGGCGGCUUUGCAAGUCGGGUGUGAAAGCCCUCAGCUCAACUGAGGAAGUGCGCCCGAAACUGCAGAGCUUGAGUGCCGGAGGGGGUGGCGGAAUUCCCCAAGUAGAGGUGAAAUUCGUAGAUAUGGGGAGGAACACCGGUGGCGAAGGCGGCCACCUGGACGGUAACUGACGCCGAGACGCGAAAGCGUGGGGAGCAAACAGG
rnacentral:rRNA from 1 species